ensembl:lncRNA
CCCACUUUCCCCUCUCUCCUGUGACAUUUUCUCCAAAUCGGAAAAUGAAGUGUAAGCCGAGCUUUGCCACAGGCGGCCUUCGGUCUCCACUUUCAGACUCGAGGUCCGAGAGUGGGAUGCGCUGUCCGCCGCGGGGCUAACCCCGGGGAACUGGGUGGGGCCCCCGGCGCCGGGGGCCGGGCUGGGCCUCUCGGUCGACCGAGGCAGAGCAGCGCGUGAGGCCCGCGUCCCGCUCCGCCCGGCGCGGGUGCGCUCGGAGCGGGGCAAGUGGGCGGCCUCGCGGCGGGUUCAAGUGCAUCCCCGGGGUUGGAGCCCGCGGCGGUGGGAGCGAGCUCUCCCUCGUGCAGCCCCCUCUCCGGAGCCCAGCGCGGCGCGCCGCCCCGGGGACCCCUCUCCUCGGCCCUCCCCCUCGGGCUGGCCGUCGGCCUGGGACAGGGACUCAGCCCCGGGCUCACGGCCACGGGCUCUCCAAGUCCAACGUGGAGACUCCGCACGGAAAAGAAGUCGGACAUCUCUCCACGCUGCUUCGAGUGGAAUCUGGAAUCAGCAGGAAAUUGCUGGAGAACCCAGCCCGAGCCUUGGCAGUCAACCCUCGCUCUGGUGAAGAGAAGCAGCUCCCACCAAAGUCUUGCCUCCCUCUCCCCCCGAAAGCCCCGCGCAGGUUUGUAAAGAGGGGUGCGAGAUCUGCAAAGGAUUUGUCUUCCAGGAAGAAAGAUGACGGUGACGGCGCCCAAUGAAAGAUGGGUGCCUGUAAGCGAGAAGUAACCACGGGCCACGUUUUGUAGUCCAAAAAGAUGCAAACGCUGCCAUCUGAGGAGUCAGUAUCAGGAGUGAAUUACUUAUAAGUUGGCGAAACAGGAAGUAAAUGGGCAGUGACACAUUUCGGGGCAUCAUUUUUUCUCAGGGUUGUUCAAGGUUUUCAGCUGCAUUUAAGAAUGAGUUGCCUUUUGCAAAGAAGUAAAUACUUUUAAGUAAACCACUUGCUAAAGCCCAGAAGAGAUUGAAGUUCAGCUGUCCCUCAGAAAAAAAGUAUCUCCAUAACUACUAAAAACGUCAGGAUUAAUAUUUCUUUAACUCUCUUCAAGUAGAUAUCACUGAAGUAAUUUUUUUUUAAUUUAACCAAGAUUAGUACAACCCUAUUCAAGAGGUUUGGUUUAUUCCAAAACUAUAAAUGUAAUCUAGAUAAAAUUGUAAUACCAAAGGUUUUUGUAAAGAAACUUGGGAAUGAAUACAUUUUAUAUGACUAUUAAAACAUGUUUUAAACCCUAACUAUUCCCCCUUCCGAAGAAAAGUCAGAGUUUUCCAUUCUAUAGAAAUAUUAUAAUCAGGUAUAAGAAAAUUAUUACUAUAAUAACAGUUCUGUCAAGAUGAUGGAUACUUUUGAAUGUAUUAUGAAGGAAAAAAUAUUUUUGGUCCUUCAUGUAUUUGAGGUACUUGAAAAGGCAAGAAGUUUGUAGAAACAUUUUACAACCAAAAUAUACAAGACCAUUAAAACGUGCAAGUAAUUAGAUUCUAAGCGACUAAGAAGUAUUUUUUUCCAACAGCUUUGUAUUCUUUUACAUUUUUAUGUAUUCUUGAAUGAUUGCCUUUCAACCGUUCCAAGUAUUUUGUUAUAUUAUUUAUAUAAUAAAAAUAUAGUUGGCAUAUGUUGCAUUUUACUUCCUGCAUGAAUAGUUGAGAAAUAUUUUAAUCUUCUUUUAUAUGUAUAUGGGAUCAAUUUGAACAUGUGCCUUGUUGAAGUAAAAAACAAUCCCAAGUUCAUUUUUCUCUCCAAAACUUGACAUUGAUCCUGAUCUCUUAGUUUUUAUGUACACAAAGUGUUAUGGAAAUCAAUUUGGACAUGCCGGUUUAUAGGGAAAUUUUAAGCUGGUGCAAGUUUAAUAUGAAAGAAUAUAUAUUAAGAUAUAAAAUAACUACUAGCCAAAAUUAAAUCAAGAGGUAUAUUUGUAUCAUUCACUCGUUUAGAUGAGUGAGAGUUUAAAAGGUAGUUUUGCACUCAGGAAAGAUUUCCUUAUACUCUGUAUUUAUGAAUAUAUAAAUUAUUCUCCCCUGCAACUUAAAAACUCAAUAGCCAAAUAACACAUUUAUGUAUUUUAAGGUGACUAAGGCUCAGGAUAUAAGCAGCAGACUGGCUUCAUGAAAGAAAGCAAGUAUUUAAAAUUGUACCUUAAAAUAUAAACUUGAUUUCAGUUUCUGACAGAAAUACUGUGACCAGCUCAUCAGUUUUCCAGAUCAUUUUUAAAGCAGCAUGUAAAAAUUACCUUUUCCACAUUAGAAGUUCAUAUUUAAGUUUCCUUAACUGCAAAAUCACUCUAAAACAGAGUGUUUUACGUUAAGGAUCAUUUCAUGUGUUGGUCCCAUUGAUUACAUAUGAAUGUAUAAAAAUCUUGUUUAAAAGACCAGUAAAAGUGAGGAAAUUCCAAGUCAAGCUGGCUAAUUCCAUUCAUAAUUCAUCCUGAGUGCCUGACUUAGGAAACUUGCACACAGUUUAUAGCUAUACAUACAAAAUAAGUUGACUUGUUUGGUAAACAGGGAAGCAGAGUUAAAUUUGACCUCCUUGCUCAGAAAGGCUUACGUUGAUACAACCAUGGAAUGUAGGUUAAGCUUUUUGUUUCCCCAGGAAUUUUCCAAUCUCAAUCCUUUUUUGGAUUUUCGCUUUUUGAAAACGUAAACACAGGACAACUUUUGUGUUCUGAGAUGGGGCUGACUUUCACCCACCCGUUCCCUUCCUGCUCGCAUAUUUGUUCAGGAAUUCUUAGUGCUGGGGGAGCACAGAGGCCCUGCCGUGAGAAAACAGCAUUCACCGAAUCGCUGUCCCCGUCCCCGUCCCCGUUAGCUACCCUAGGCCCUCUUUUUAUUCUGAGCAAACUGGGCAAGAAUUUAGUACUUAUACUCACAUGGUUCAAACUGCUAGAUCCACAGCCCGAAGUACUUUUGGCAGCUGGCAAGAAGUCCAUCCAGACUUUGUAUUCUGAGCUGGGAAAAACUACUGAAGAAUCGCGUGCUUGCCAUUGAGGAACUUCCAGUCUGUCUGUCAAACCUGAAACAAUCCAUCUGCUUGUUUUCCAAAGCUGCACUGUAGGGUGAUGCCAUCCCUUAGUUUUGACGUUUAGGAAGACGUUAAGACAUUUUCAUACAGUUUCUUAAACAUGCUGAGUAAUUUGUAAUUUUAAACCAGACAAAUUUUAAGGGUGAAAACUGGCCCAGAGAGAGUCUUUACACAAUAACUUCAAACUGCUGUGAACUUUUAAAAGUGACUUUUUAAAAUAAGAUCUUGAAAAUGUGGGUUUCUGGUGGCUACUCAGAAUAGGAAUCCUCAGAACCAGUUAAUAUUCACCAAACACGCUUCAUUAAACUGGAACAAACAUGAUGUUGAAUUCCUAGCUCCCCAUUUUCCUGAAUGUAGGUCAUUUUCUGUCCUUACAAUUUAACGAUUGAAGGGAUUUCCUGUCUUUGAAGUACAGCAGUUUGUCACUUGUUUGGAUUAGCCUCUUUAAAAGUUGGGGCUCCCAUCCUACGUUGAAAGACUUAGCGACUCCAUGUUCUCUGGCUAGAGUUUCCCAGCUCACUAAAGGCAGUGAUACCUGCCCGUGUGGGACUUUGCUUUACAAGUCGGUGCCUGCAGAGCCCAUAUUCCAGGUUGGAGCCUUCAGGAAAAGCCCAGAGUCAUGCGCUUACCUGGGUGAAGCCAAAAAGAGGUAAGCUUUCAUAAUGAGGGGCCAUAUAUUAAAAUUCAUAACUUUUGAGAACUGGAAUAACUUGUGUUCAGGCAUUAGAGUCUCAUGCUAAAACAGAACAUAACAAGCGAGGCCAAAUGUGCCAGGUGAGUGAGACCCACCUAAGAAAUGACUGACAUUUAAAUGCACUUUUCAAAAGUGUGCUAUUUGUAUUUGUGUGUGUGUGCUCAGUUGCUCAGCCGUGUCUGACUCUUUGCAACCCUAUGGACUAUAGCCUGCCAGGCUCCUCUGUCUGUAGGAUUUCCCAGGCAUGAUUAAUGGAGUGGGUUGCUAUUUCCUUCUCCAGGGAAUCUUCCCUACCUGGGAAUAGAACCCAGGUCUUCUGUGUCUCCAGCAUUGCAGGAAGAUUCUUUACGCUGAGCCUUUGGGGAAAGCCCCCCCCCCCUUUUUUUUUUGUUAAGAAUGCCUGGUAUUUCAUCAUCUCUUCUGAUAUGGAUCCUAGUAGACAAGAUCCAAUAUUUCUAGUGAAAAUGUGCCUAUUUAAUUAGAAAAUGUCAUUCACAAAUGACCCAUGAGUUAGGAGACAGCAGUGAAUUGCUUUUAGGAGCUAGAGCGAUGCUUAUUUUUGCCAAAUAAGGCAACAGGCUCCAGAUCUGAUUGUGAGCUACAGCACACCCUAGAUGAGAUACAAUGCAGUUUGUUGUUCAGUCACUCAGUUGUGUCCAACUCUUUGCAACCCCCACAGACUGCAGCAUGCCAGCCUUCCCUGUCCUUCACUGGCUCCUGGAGUUUGCUCAAACUCAUGUCGACUGAGUCUGUGAUGCCAACCAACCAUCUUGUCCUCUGUAUACAGUACAACAGGUGAAUGCUAUUUGCAUAUAUUUACAUGACUCUGCCUACCUUGAGCAUAUCCACCAACUCAUCACUGUCAAGACUCAACUUAUUCUUUGUUUGCUAGAGCAGUUCCUUAAUUGUUUGAAAACCUGGGCAAGAAUAAGGCAUCCUCACAGUAUCCCCCUCCCCAAGAGCAUUUUCUUCUUUUUUUUUAAGUAAACCUUUAGAAGUUUAGGAAUUGGAGGGCUUUCUCUUUGGAGAACUGGACUCAUGUGUGCGUGAAAUUAAGAUAUUCUGAUACGUAAAGGGAAGGAAGUUAAAAGAGAUUUCAGUACUGUUCUGGUUUAGGUUUGUGAUCAAAUCAGGUCAUGAUCAAACAGAGAAGAAAGGAGGUAGAAAUUGAGCAAGUCAAAGAAAGAGGUAUGAGGUUAAAUUCUGCUGAUCAUUUUAUAAUGAAUUGGAGUGAAAUUCUGAUGACUAGGCAUUUUCUUUUUGUGGCUAUCACUUUGACCCAUUUAAUUUCUCUGGAAGAAAUCAUAAUCAUUGUAACUGAGCUGCCCUGCUGGGCUGUUUUCUGGCUAGUAGCAUUGGAACCAUCUGGGAAAAAAUGUAUCAUCACCACAGAACAUCCGUCUAAAGGGCACACCUCUGUGUCUCUCACAAAGUGAGUAGCACUUGGUCCAGCCAAGGACAUAGAUUCAUGCAUCUGUCUGGUUGUGUGUGUUUCACUGAUCAUCUUCCUGGUCCUUGCCCUAGGCAACUACUAGUAUAAGCCUAGCAUGUGUAGUAUCAGAGCAGAUUCUAUAGCCACCAAAUGAAUAGUCUUGUCUUUAAGUCACACACUUUUGCACCUUUCGUGUGGUUAAAAUUUAAAAUGCUCCAAUUUUCCCUUGGUUACAUCACAGAUGCUAAGAGAACAGACAGGUGGAAAUAGGAUACUGAAGAGCUGAAUAUCUCUGCAAACUCGAGCACUUAAAACAGUUUGAAGUCACCGGGUGCUCUUUCUUUUUUUAAUUGUCUUCAGUGAAACUCCAAAAACCCCAUAAUGUCUACCUUAAAAGCAUCAGGAGUAUUUUAAUUGGGUAAUAACCAUCCAUAUUUUCCUUCUGAUAAAAGGAAUUAAGGAUGAAAUUUUAUGAUGAUUAUAAACUAUUACUGACCCAAGGGACAAGAACAAUUAUGAAAAAUAUGUCCUACAUAUUUGGCAUGAAUAUGAAUUUAGACUUUUAAACCCUUCAUCUUAAAUGCUCAAGCAACUUAUUAAAGCUUAUAAAAUAAUAUUCACAUAAUGGUAACAAGGUAACUUAUAAUCAUGAUUGAUAUUAUAUCAUCAGUAUUACUGCAGGCUCCAUGCCAAAUAGUGAAGCUGACUUGGUAUUUGCCUGUUGGGCUUAUGAUAAAAAUAGAUGCACUAUAAAAAAGAUGAAAGAUGAUAAUGGAUUUUGUGUAUCUGAGGUCCCUUUUGGUCUAUGAUUGUUUUUAAAAUGCUUUUCAUAUAGAUCACAUCCCCUCUCCUCUUCUCCAUCCUGCUCCCUUUUCUUCUCUUGUUUUUAUUUUUUUUUCCUUUCUUUCCUUCACAUAAAAUUACGAACCAUUAGAGGGAAAAGUGCUUUCUGAAAACUAUGAAAAAAUAGUGAAUCUGACUUGUGACUAAGUACUGGGAGUGUUUGUUGUUGUUUAGUUGCUAAGUUGUGUCUGACUCUUUGUGACCUCAUGGACUGUAGCCCGCCAGGCUUCUCAGUCCAUGGGAUUUCCCAGGGAAGAAUACUGGAGUGGGUUGUCAUUUCCUUCUCCAGGGGAUCUUCCUGAUCCAAGGAUCAAAUCCACAUCUCUUGCAUUAGCAGGCAGAUUCUUUACCACUGAGCCACCAGAGAAGCCCCAAGUAUUGUGAAUAGAUCUGAUCAACUCAAAACUUUAUUAUCCAGCAGCUGCGUGAGAACAAAUUCAGCAUUCAUGAAUAUGAGUCCCCAUCUGGGGCUAACCCAUCAAUGUUUAGACCAGCUUUGACCAAACCCAGAAUGGGAGUCUUCUUUGAGAGCAAGAGAGUAUCUAACUUUGAGUCAGAGCUACUUACCACCCUUAAGAUCAGUUUUGGAUCAUGACAAACUUUUUUAACAUAUUGAAGAUGACUGGGACAAUUGCCAAAUUUCCGCAAUGUGGGCAAAAAUGGGCAUUCUAAUUGGAGGGGCUGCCUGUGUCCACAUGUUACUUAGACCCAGCCCUGCAGAGUCUUACAGGCUGCCAUUCAAACAUUUACUAUAUGUUAGUGUUAAGCCCUUUCAAGUGUGUAACUUUUAACUGUAAAUAGUUUGUUCCAGUGAAGCAUUGGAACUUUCUGGCAUGACUUGCCUCUGUUAUGACUAUAUGGAAUACCCAAAGACUGAGCCUGUCCAUCCAUGGGCUAGGAUUUUGCUCCCACUCCACUCUGUGACCUAUGGCAAGUUACUUAACUUGUCUGAGCCUUUGUUUCAUCAGUUAUAGAAUGAGGGCAGUCAUGCCUCUUGGCAGCGUUAGUUUGAGUAUUGACUACUAAUGAGUACUGAAUGGCCUAAUAUUCAUAAAGUAUCUGGAACAUAGUUUGCAGCAAAUAUCUGUUACUGAAGUUGCAAGGAAAACAAGAUUAAAUCUUUGAUCUCACAGUUUUUCAUAACCUAAAAAUUUAGAGAUCUUUCAAAAAGAGAGAGCCUCAAAAUGCAUGUUUGUAAUACUAGUGUCUUGUUUGCACCCAGAAAUAGUGUCCUGAACUCAGAUUAGAGAUUUAAUAUCAGCCAAGCUUGCCUCCUCCUUUCACAACCUCCAGGAAAAUACCUUUGCAUAACAAAAAAUGAGUUUAGUACUUUUCACUCCAAUUGAUCUUUACUAGGCAAGUCAGGUCAAAAAUUCACCAAAAGGCCCUUGAAGUACACUAUUUAAAGAAAAUUUUUUAAAAAAUGAAAAUGAGGGAAAACAAUUUGCUACUUUAUUUGGAGACUGGCAGGUAAUGUAAGCAUAGCAGAACAUGCAGAGCUUUUUUCCUAAUUUGUGUUUUUAAAAAAAUUCUUCUGGGAAGUGGCUUUUAUGUGCCUAGAUUCAUUCCAUGGUUAGUUUUUAUGGCCAAGUUAUAAACUCUUGACUAUAAGCACCUAGAAUAGAAAUGCUGACACGCCUGUAACUAGAGCUGUGUGAUUGACAUCCCCAUCAUGUUGUAACUGACACACAAAAUAAACUUAGGAUAAUUGCAGCGUGGUUUGAGCAACAGAGCAAUAUGUCUGAGCAUAUUGUAACAGUUUGACAAACUGCUUGAUCUGGAUCAGCAAUGUGAUUCCCAUUUAUUGUCUGUCUUAACAAAACCUCAAAUCUUCACCAAAAGAUAGAAAGGAUAGGUUAUUGUAACAUACUAUGAUUUUUGAACUGGAAUCAAGAAACACCACACUAUUUUGUGUUGAGCCAUUCACUGGUCCUUGGGAGCUGAGGAAAAGACACUGGGAGAAUAUAUGAAUGAAGUAAUCCCUGUUGAAUCAGUGCAAAACAACAGAAAGAAAUGCUAUAGUAUCUCCACCACCACCACCCCCCCCCCAACCCCGCCACCACCGCCCCCCAACCCCUGCCCUAAAACUGUUCCUACGUAUUUCACGUCAUUACCUUGGCUAUAAAUACAUCUUGAGGGUUUUGGUUGUUUAUACAGUUGGCCAAACCACUGAAUUUGGGUUUUUAGAUCCUACUGUAUAUUGUGGCAACUGCCUGAUUUGCCUUUAAAUUUUCGAUAUUCUACCUUUAUCCUUUACAAGUGUCUUGUCAUAUUAGAGAACUUUCCAGUCUUUUUUUUUUUUCUGGCUUGUUUUCAUUCCACUAACUUAUAGCUGGAUAAUCAUGCGAACGCUUAGUUCUUCUGCCUUGUUUUCCUGCUGACCUAGAUGUCCUCAUGUGUAAAGUGAGACUCUCUUUUAAGUGUCAUUGUAAGAUGGCAAAAUACCAAUGUGUACUUAAUAAUCUGGACCUUGAUCAAUUGGUUUAUAUUGGAAGAUCCUAGUAUGUCUCAUCCGUUCUCUAGGUGGGUGGGAUGUCGGGGGGGUGGUCCUUGUUUGCAAGGAGAGGACAUUCUACUCAUGGUCAUAAGGUAUCCGUUUAUUCAAGAAAGUAGACCAUUUGUGUGCAGGGUGUACCUGAGUGUUUCAGGAGAUCAAAGGAAAGAAAUAUCAGUGAGGACAGAGUGAGCUCCUGACGUGUUCUCUGGAGAGGUGGACUGCAUCUGUGCUCAGGAAGCAGGGGCAGCUUUGGAUGGAUGAAAAGAACAUUUCCGGCAAGGAGCACAUGGUGGGUGGAAAUACUGAGGUGGGAAUGAGCCCGUUCUGGUCCUAGAAUUGUAAGGACCUGAAGAAAUCGUUCCGUUUGUACAUACCCUCUGUCCUUACUAUUUUUGUUCAUUCAGAGUCAUCCAGUUUUCCUGGCGACAUAUUUGACAGUCUGCACACACUGAAGGGUCUGCCUCCUUGAAACUUUUCAUCUGACUUCUCUCAAAUCUGCUUAAAAUGCUAUUCUGGAUUAUGCCAUCUCCCUGCUUAGAAGCCUGACUGCAUACUGCUCAGUCUCCGUAACCUCCCCACUCCCACCCCUGCCCAUCCUGUGAGCUUCAUUGCACCUCCAGACACAUCCCACUUCUGACAAUCUGGCUGCAGCCACCUGGAACUGCCUGUAUUUUCUCUUGUCUCCUGCCCUUCCUGUGAGCUCAGAUCUCAGCUUAAACAUCGGGAGACCAGAUAAGGCUCCUUGGCUGCUCACCCUUGCAGCUCCCUACAGGAAGCAAGUUUCAUUUGAAUUUCUUCCUUAAAAACUGUCUUUCCCAUGAGACUAGACACUUCUUGCAAUGAGAAACCAUGUUUGGCUUGAUCAUGAGUGGCUGGCACAGAGCCUGGCACCAUCCAUUCAUUCAAAACUUCCUAUUAAGUCCCAGGCCCUAAUACAACCGGGAGCAAAAUAAAGAAGCACUGUCUGCUUGGGGACCAAACAUAUAACAACCUAAAAAUAAAAUCUAUAAAGUAUAUAUAUUUAUAGUAUAGCAGUAAAUGCUCAGGAGUAAAGCAAAGCCAAGAAGGAAGACAGAACGUGUCUAGUACAGAAGACUCCUUAGGCAGGCGGCCAGGGAAGAGGGCCUUGCUAAGACAGAUGCAGACAACUGAACAGAGACUUGGAGGGAAUGGAGGAAAGGAGGGGCUGAGCCACACAGAUGCUGAGGAAGAGCAGGUGGACUGCGGAAACAGCAGGUGCAAAGGCCAGUCUGGGGCACCUUGGGAGUAUUCAGAGGUCAGUGGGCUGGAGUGCAGAGAGUGAGGAGGAAAGAGGGAGAGGCGUGGUCAAAACGAGGAGUCAGCAAGGGAAGGACAAUAAUCAUGCACCAGAUAAAUGGGUGUAGGACUGUUGUUAUGCUAUUAUUCCUAGUCUUUGGACUAGAAGACCCAAAGAGAAUAGACUAUGUCCUUUACUGCUUUAAAAGACUAUUUUAAAUGACUUUCUAAUGCUUUAAAGUAAUGCCAGUAACUCAACAUGGAACAAAGCCUGCUCUCAUUAGCUUACUGAGUGAAAGGACAUCAAUGCAAUCAAGCCUCCUCCUCCAGCCCCAGGAUCUUAAUGCAGAAUGCAGAGGGACCACGUAUCAUGUAGUGAGCCCAUGACCCCAGCUCCUGUCUUUGCAGGAGAUUAACACAUGGAGCUGAAAGAACAUGAAUGUAGGUAACUUAAUGACCGAGGUUUUCAUUUUAGAAUCACCUUCAGAGGGAAGGCAGGAGAGCACACAGUUAUCUCAUUGCAACCGUAUAGAAGAGAGCUGUGGUUUUGUUCUUAUUUUGACUCAGUUCUUCGGGGCUUUAUUCUUUAGCCAUUCCUGGUGUCAUUAGUGAUUAAAGUAAUCUUUUCUCCAGGUGACACUUAGCAUCUUAACUAAUGAAAUACUCCUUGCACAGGGAAGGGUUCAGCUCUGCCAGAAAGGGAAUGUAAGCAGAAGGAAUUCCUGCUCUGAACCCCACCCCCAGAGCUACAGACUCCUGAGUUCAUGACUUGUGGGUCACACACAUCCCUCUGUCCUGGACACCUGGGCCGGGCCUGCGGUGCAAAGCGUCACUCAGCACGCCUGCCGGCUCCGUCAGUACCCACCGCACAGCAGCUUUCCUUCUCUCAACGCUUGGCUGCCUGCCAUGCUGACCCCAGGAACAGAGCCUCCUAAGAAAAAGGUACGUAAGAAAUGAGGGCUGAACACACACCAUGUCUUCCUCGAGACCAGCCAGCUCUCCUCAUGAGAACAGCUUUCCAAGCCUAGGGCUUGGUUCCAGCUCCAUUACAACAAAGAAAAACCUUUAUAACAUUUGUCCACAAUCUAAGCCACAGGAAAAUCCUGACUGCACAGCACAUGACAUGGUGUGGAGAGUAUAAGCACACUGGAGAAAGAAGAAUUACUAUGCAAAAGCUAUUGACGCACAAGACCUUCGUAACAAGCAGGAAAUGUGCAAAGACAGAUCCCUGUGCGGGAGAUAACAGCUGUCCCUGUUGGGACCCAAGGCUCAAAGGGCAGCUUGUGAGACACUGGCUGCUGCUCGACACGGCGUUAUUUCCUUGGCAUGUGACGGAACUGGGGGCCUUCCUUGCUUUUCUCUGGUGUCCUUCUUUUGUCAUUGUUUGUGAAGGUAGUUGAGCUUCGGUUUGGUCUGGAAUCCCGUGACACUUAGAGCUAUAAGAUCAAAGUCCAUCAUAGGCAUUUGGGUUGGUGCCUGGUGCCAGCAAAGUUCAGGCUGGGCUUCAAAUGGGGCUUGAGUGCCUCUUUUGCUGUUAAGUCGCUUCAGUCGUGUCCAACUCUGUGUGACCCCGUAAAUGGCAGCCCACCAGGCUCCCCCAACCCUGGGAUUCUCCAGGCAAGAACACUGGAGUGGGUUGCCAUUUCCUUCUCCAAUGCAUGAAAGUGAAAAGUGAAAGUGAAGUCUCUCAGUCAUGUCCGACUCUUCGUGACCUCAUGGACCGCAGCCUACCAGGCUCCUCCACCCAUGGGAUUUUCCAGGCAAGAGUACUGAAGUGGGGUGCCAUCGCCUUCUCUUGGCCGCGGUCAAAGGCUGGCUGGGUUUGAUCUUGAACUGAGGAGUUGCAGGUCCUUGAUUGAUAAACCCUGCUUGGCAGAGCUCUGCUUUAAUUAACGUGGCCCUUGUGUUGGGUGGAUUUCCUGUGUUUUAGCACCUCCCUAGAUGUAACCUUAUCUCUCCAUUUUCAACCCAUGAUUGAUCUGAAACACCACAGGUGAGGUUUCUCUUUGACUCAACAGCUGGAUUACUUCCAGGUUUUCCCACCACAGAAGAGAAGUCCCAAACUCUAGCAGUUCUUAUCAUUUGACAUUUUAUGGGGCAGCCACUGUGGGUGAGAUGCUAAUAUGGUUAGACACAGGUCCAGUAAACUGAACUUAGUGCCUGAAAGUGUAUUCAUCUACAAUGUGUAAAUGUUAGAGACAAUGGAAGUAAACAAAUGAUAGAUGGUGUUUAGGGGGGAGGUGACAGCAAGGUGUCUCUCAGAAGCUUGGAAAGAGGGCAAGUGGUUGACCUUUAAGCAUUAAGCUACUUAAAUAACUGCAUAAGUGAAGGAGGCAGAAGGUUUCAUUGAUCCUUUGGGAAAAAUGAUUUAGAGGGAACAGGAAGAUAGCCCAGCGCCCUGAGGAUCACAUGUCCUGCAAGAUGCUUCUCAGGUCAGUUUGGGACAAUCUUUGAUAGUCACAAUGCACAUUUCACUUUGUUUACACUUGUGUUUCUAUCAAACUUAAAAAAAUAAAAUGGACCUCCAUCACCUCCCUGUUUCUCAGUUUUUUGUUUGCUUGUUUUUAAAAUCACAGCACACCACGGAAAGAAAUGAUUUAUAAAGCAUACCUACUGUGGGAAUACAGGGAGGCCCAAGCUAAAGAAAGAAGACACCAUCGGAUGAGUGAGGUGCUCCAGGCACAAAGAUUCACCACCACCUGGUUCCAUCUACUUAUCGCAGUCUCCAGCAGCAGGGAUGCUUGUCCUGCCAGGUCCGCUACUGCUGGAAGAACCAGCUCUUUGGGCACACUGAAGGCUCAGGACCCCACAGAAUGAGGAUCCCGAACAAAACAUACUUGUGUCUUGAAACAGGAGCCAUAUUCUGUGUACCUGCCACAGACUUGUGUUCAGGAAUGGCCACACUCAGAAGCUGCUACCAAAUUUAAGUACGUAUUUUAGAAGUUAUCAAGCUUCCUUACAACUAGCACAGCAUUAACGUCUGGGAAAAAAUAAUAGACGAGGAACAGUUGGGUAGAGGUUCUUCCAUCAGGGCUGGCUUGGUAGGUGCUACAAAAGAUUUGAUUUCCAGAUUUCUGAAAGAAAAGGAGAAAUCUGAAAACAAAACCAAAGCAGUCUCACCUGGUGGGGGGAGGUCACUGAGCUGGGGUUGGUCAGCUGAAGUCUGAUGACACAUUCAGAAGUUACUCAGUUUUAGUUUUCUUCUGUCUAUGACUGGGCGAUACCACGUAUCUGAGUCAGAGCUUCCUCUUCUUGCAGGUAGGUUUAAUAGAACCUGCUCCACGUGCUGGGAAAGAUUGGGGACAGGAUGAUAAGACGGAGACAGAGGAUGAAAUGGUUAGAUGGCAUCACCAUCUCAAUGGACAUGAGUUUGAGCAGACUCCGGGAGAUAGUGAAGGACAGGGAAGCCUGGCAUGCUGUGGUUCCUGGUCAAAGAGUUGAAUAUGUGACUGAACAACAAUUCCCUCGUAUGAGAUGGUUGGGGCAAGAUGAGAAAUGCUAUAUGUAAAAUCAUAUGAUAUAUGUAAAAAGCAAAUGAUAUAUGUAAAAAGUAAUGAUAUAUGUAAAAAGCAAAAGAAAGUCUAAACACGCAAGAUUUCUGUCUUCUCCCCUAGACCGUGAGCUCCUAGAUAAGGGGACCUUGUGUCUCUCUACCCAGGGUGCCUGCUGCAUAGUGGGCUGGCAGUUGUAUCAAAUGACUGGAUACACCGAUUAUGAACCAACUGGGUCAAAGAAAGAAAGCUGCCAUUGGAGGUGCCGACUAGACCCCUUGUAUCAACUGGGUCCUGGAGGGGACACCAGCUUAGAGCAUGCAAGUGGGAAGUGGGCCCCUGAGAAGCUGUUGCUGCCUGUGACUAGAGAGAAAGGAAAAUAGAUUGGGAGAUGGGAGAGCCUAAAGGAUUCCUGUCCGGGUCUUUAUUCAGACAGAAACUGGCGAGGAGAGGUCCCAGUUCUUAGAUGCGCGUGAAGCGGGAAGUCAGGUGACGUGGGUUAGGGCAUUCUGCUCAGCGUGGCUGAGUGUGAUGGAUGGCUUGGUGCGCUGUUUAUCUAGUGCGGGCUGGUAUUUCACCUCUGUUUUCAUUAGACUGAUGCUAAGGUAAUAAUUCUUUCCUCUGGCUGAAAAAUCUGUCUUCAGCCAUUUGUUGAUCUUCUUGAACGGGCACUUCAGAUGUCCAGCAGUUACCCUAAAGGAGGCUUUGAAUGAAAACUUACAUAAUGCCAGUUGGCAUCCACGGAGCUCACAGCAAGGCUUCUGCUAGACUUGCUGUGGUUAGGAGGUUGCAAAGUCACAUCUGUGCAAAGAGAACCAGCCUCAGGAAUGGCACAGAGAGACCACGCCUGUGGGAAACAAAGAGGAAACGGCACACUUUUUGCAUUUGAACAUUUCAAGCGUAUCUGCAAAUUAAAUGAAGGCAGUGCCGUCUUCCUGGGGUGUUUCCAUGAAGCAGUGUGUUGUGGCGAGAAGUGCCCAAGACUGGGACUCAGAAAUCUCCAUGACUCUCCCUACGGGCAGAUCUCAUAGCAUCUCUGUGCCUCCAUGUCUUCAUCUUUCCAGCAAAGACAAGAAUAAUAUAUGUGGUGGUCUGAAUGGAAAGCCCUUGUCAAGAGAACUUAGCUUUUAGUUUUUCUCCCAGGCUAGUGGGAACAAGUUGAACACAAUAACAGAGGCGUGUGGCGUUACUAAGUGGCAGCAUGAUAGCCCCACCCGCCUCCCAACGCCUUCGAUGAAGAGCAGGAAGGUGAGAGGACAAGGCUGGCUCUGUAAGGCCUGGUUAAGGAAACUCUCUUCCCACGACUCACAGGGCAGUCCUUCUGAGCAGUGUUGUGGGUUUGUGAGCUGACCACCCAGUGAUAGGACUUCUGCUCACAGAGCCCAGGAAGUUGCUUCAUCCGGAGUGGACCCCCAGAAACGUCUCAUCCCCUCAUCUGUGUGUGUGUGUUUACCAUCGAUGUGCAGACGGUGCAGCCAGGCCACGGAGAGAGAUGGAAUCAUAGGCCACUGCUCUCAACGCUCAGGUCUUCCAUUCAGAAUGAGGGUCUUUCCUCCCCAUCAGGAGGGACAGCCCCUUCAUGCUGUCUGUACCAGAGGCCACUUGCCUUGAAAAAUGGUUCUUAUGUAACAUAACUGGGGUGGACAUAUAUUCUGAUUUGCCCCUACCGGCCCACUUUGUGCUUUUUGUGACUGAAUACAUAUAAUAGCUCUCCCACCAACUCUUAAAGUGUUUGAGUUUGGACAAUAAAUUAUAUGACACCCUAAAUACAACAGGUUCGUUUUUCUGUUGGCACCUUCUCCACCCUCAACAAAUACCUCAUGUCUAUUGCCAAUAGCCCCUCUGUCCUCAGCUUAGUCAUUUAUGCUAUACAAAUAAAGUUUUACUUUAUAAUUUUCACACAGCAAUGUAUAUUCAUCAAUAUCAUUUUCAGGGCACUCCUGACAUGAGGGGAGACUCAUUACAAAGAACUGUACUUUAUAAAAUGUGAUAAUUCUAAUGAGGAAGGAUUAGUGGGGAUCAAC